UGGCACGGUAUACAAUACGUGGCAGGUAUGCAAUCUACCACAACAGUAAACAAUUGAUUGGAAUGUUAAUAUAUGCGUCAUCAUUAUCAGUCUACCUUUAAUUGAACAAGGCAAAAAUAACAAAAAUAAUGUGAUUCGCGUGUCGAGUGGUUAGCGUCACACAUUAUCAUGUCGCGUGUUUGGAUUCGAUUCAUGUUCUGGCCGAGGUAUUUUUCGUCAAAGAGCUUUCUUUUGACUUGUCUGUGUUCACGCGUAUUCUAGAGCACUCAGAAUAAAUUCAAGGCGUGUGUUUUGGCAUAAGAAAUCUCAACUAAGUACCUGAGUCAUGCGGAUAGAAUCAAAUUGGUUGUCAAAAAAAAUCCAAUAGAAAUGUCAAAAGAGAUCGAAAAUUCAGGAGGGGAAAAAAGUGUUACUUUUUAUAUAAUGACAAUAAUAACCCACUACAUAGAGAAAGUAUUGUUUUUAAAGGUAAUGAGAGAUAGUGAAAGUUGGCCUUAAAAUUAUAUGCAGUACAAUCAUUCAUCAUAAACAAAUCGGAGAUAAGUAUUCGUUUUUUUACAUCAUUAUAUCAGUCACCUCGGUCGGGAAACUAUUUUCAUAUUCCCGCCAAGGAUAAACAUCAGUUAUAUUCUAUACAUUACAACACUAUUGACCUUUUUCCUUGUCUUUACAGCUGGCAUGAUCCCAGACUCGUAAUACUUGUUUACCAAAAACCACCCAAGCUAUGGGAUUGAAGGUAACGGCGAGUUUGUCGCUAAGAUUGGAAUCUUUCUUCAACACAUCAUCGACCGUAAAAAACUUAAGGGACACGAGAGAACAAAAUACGGAUGAAACGUGCUAAUUCUACCGUCACUCUGCUAAUCAGCUAAUGCAAAUCAGAGCGAUGUAGCAGGAAGAGGAACGGGAACUUGCUUUGGAAAUGCUCAUCAAAUUGAGGUGGUUGAGGCUGCGAUUGAAAUUUGCCUCUUGUACGCAGUUUAUAGAAUGAUUCCAACGAGAAAUAUUGAUGUUGUUUAUAGAAUAAGUUAUUAGUAUAAUGUAUUCUAAGUAAGUAGAA